CCCUUAGAUGUUCUGGGCUGCACGCGCGCUACACUGAUGCGUUCAACGAGUUUAUGACCUUGCCCGAUAGGGUUGGGUAAUCUUUUUAAAUCGCAUCGUGAUGGGGAUAGAUUAUUGCAAUUAUUAAUCUUCAACGAGGAAUUCCUAGUAAGCGCGAGUCAUCAGCUCGUGCUGAUUACGUCCCUGCCCUUUGUACACACCGCCCGUCGCUCCUACCGAUUGAAUGGUCCGGUGAAAUCUUCGGAUCUGAGAGAUGUCUGAUUAAUUUCGGACGCCUUUUGGAAAAGUUGCUUAAACCUUACCAUUUAGAGGAAGGUGAAGUCGUAACA
rnacentral:rRNA from 1 species